rnacentral:tRNA from 2 species
GCGUCGGUAGUGUAAUGGAUAGCACAUGAGAUUUCGGUCCUCAUGAUGGGGGUUCGAUUCCCCCCUGACGCAUCA